rnacentral:misc_RNA from 1 species
AAUGUCGAAGGUUCUGUGAAAUAUUUAGACUUAAACUUGAUGCUUUUUAGUUUAUUCAAGGAUUAAAAUAAUCUAACGAUAUAAAUUGAGUCAAAACGAUUAACUUUGGUAUAAAGGACUAAAUUCUACGUUUCAAUAUUACGGUUGCUCAAAACAUUAGUUGCAAUUAUGCUCGGGGAUAGUAACUCGUCUGGAAUGGAUUGAGAAUAUUAGAAUGUUUGGAAUGAAUCUACGUUCGGGCAUAGUGAUGAUUGGAGUUUUAUAUUUGACUGCCUCUAAGUUUGGGCAUAGUGACCGCUAAUUGAAAUAUUGGAAUAUUGGAUGAAGUCAAAUUUCAGAAUUUCGGAAUGUUAAUGUUAUUCACUAUUCCCCAUUCAUUCAUUGUUUGUGAGAAGUGACGAAAAUUGGAACGACCAUCAAUUUCUCAAUAAUGUUGAAAUGGCUUACUGAAUGUGAUCGUGUUUGUUCACAGAGCCACAUUGCUGAUUUCGGGAUGCGGAAAUUGCUGAAGUGACUGAACAAAAUGGAACUUCAAAAUAGAACCAAAAAAAAAAAAGAAUACUACAAAUUUUUCUUCGGAUCUUACUCCAGAUUUGCUUGUAGAUGCAAUCGGAAAUCAAGAUUUACUAGACGAUCCACCGAGAAAGAAAAGAAAAAGGUUUUCUUUCGAAGAAAAGAAAAAUAUUUUAGAAGCAAUGACUCGGUAUUCCGCAGUUGUGAUAUGCAAAAAAUAUGAACUAAGCGAUCGUACUUUAAGAAAAUGGAAAUCGGAGAAAGAAAAGAUCAUUCAAGAGGCGAAAAAAACGAAUUGCAAAAAAUUGAAAAAGAAGUCCAAUGUCACGGAAAUGGACGAUGCCAUGUUUCAAUGGUUAGUUGAAGUACAAGACAAAGGAAUUCCGAUUUCUGGACCGAUGAUUCGACGACAAGCUUUGAUCGCGAAAGCACAUCAUCCGAAAAAUGACCAAUUCAGGGCCAGCGAAGGUUGGUUAUCUAGAUUCAAGAAAAGGAAAAAUAUUCGAUGCUUGAAAAUUACAGGGGAAAAAUUGUCGACUAAUGAAGUUGCAGCAAAGUUAUGUGAAGAAGAAUUAAAAAAAAUGGUUGCAAUCAAAAAAUUGCAAAAAAAAAAUAUUUUCAACAUGGCUGAGAGUGAUAUCUAUAUCAAACAAGUACCUAGUCGUACUUUGGCUCCAAACUGUGUUAAAAAUAAACAUUAAUAUAGUAAAAUCGCCAAAUGUAUAUAAUCUCUAUUUCUUUGAAUAAUAUCAAUUAUUAUUUUAAUGAUAGUAAUCGAAAUUUCUGACACUUUUUUUAAUGAUAUUAUUACUAUUUUAUGAAUUUUGUGAUGAAAUAAUAUUAUUAAAAAAAUAAUGACAAUAAAUUGAAUUUAAAACAGACAAUUAUAGGCUAUUUCAUUGAGCCAGCGUUUGGCACUGUUGAGAGAGACGAAUAUGAAACCCGAAGUGAGCCCGUGGUGGGGGUUACGUUCGAGCGAGAAUAUGGGGAAGCGGCACUAUUCUCCACAAAACAGAACCUGUCUCAUGUAUUUCGUGAAAGAUCGAACUCACGAGUUCCUGCAGUGCGGACAUUUUUGCGUGUGUCUUGGAUGUGCCAUGCGUUGCACAGAGUCAACCAUGAUAUGUUCAGUACGCCUAAAACCUGUCAUAAAAUGCCAGAACACCAUUUUUGUAUGAGACGAUUCAACGUGUAAUUAA